rnacentral:tRNA from 1 species
GGGCGCAUAGUUCAGCGGGAGAACGCACGGUUCACAUCCGUGAAGUCGUAGGUUCAAAUCCUACUGCGCCCA